rnacentral:rRNA from 1 species
CCCUUUGGGGUGUGACUGCGUACCUUUUGUAUAAUGGGUCAGCGACUUAUAUUCUGUAGCAAGGUUAACCGAAUAGGGGAGCCGGAGGGAAACCGAGUCUUAAUUGGGCGUUAAGUUGCAGGGUAUAGACCCGAAACCCGGUGAUCUAGCCAUGGGCAGGUUGAAGGUUGGGUAACACUAACUGGAGGACCGAACCGACUAAUGUUGAAAAAUUAGCGGAUGACCUGUGGCUGGGGGUGAAAGGCCAAUCAAACCGGGAGAUAGCUGGUUCUCCCCGAAAGCUAUUUAGGUAGCGCCUCGUGAAUUCAUCUCCGGGGGUAGAGCACUGUUUCGGCUAGGGGGCCAUCCCGGCUUACCAACCCGAUGCAAACUGCGAAUACCGGAGAAUGUUAUCACGGGAGACACACGGCGGGUGCUAACGUCCGUCGUGAAGAGGGAAACAACCCAGACCGCCAGCUAAGGUCCCAAAGUCAUGGUUAAGUGGGAAACGAUGUGGGAAGGCCCAGACAGCCAGGAUGUUGGCUUAGAAGCAGCCAUCAUUUAAAGAAAGCGUAAUAGCUCACUGGUCGAGUCGGCCUGCGCGGAAGAUGUAACGGGGCUAAACCAUGCACCGAAGCUGCGGCAGCGACGCUGAUGCGUUGUUGGGUAGGGGAGCGUUCUGUAAGCCUGCGAAGGUGGCCUGUGAGGGUUGCUGGAGGUAUCAGAAGUGCGAAUGCUGACAUAAGUAACGAUAAAGCGGGUGAAAAGCCCGCUCGCCGGAAGACCAAGGGUUCCUGUCCAACGUUAAUCGGGGCAGGGUGAGUCGACCCCUAAGGCGAGGCCGAAAGGCGUAGUCGAUGGGAAACGGGUUAAUAUUCCCGUACUUGGUGUUACUGCGAAGGGGGGACGGAGAAGGCUAUGUUGGCCGGGCGACGGUUGUCCCGGUUUAAGCGUGUAGGUGUGUGUUCCAGGUAAAUCCGGUUCACUUUAACACUGAGGCGUGAUGACGAGGCACUACGGUGCUGAAGCAACAAAUGCCCUGCUUCCAGGAAAAGCCUCUAAGCAUCAGGUAACAUCAAAUCGUACCCCAAACCGACACAGGUGGUCAGGUAGAGAAUACCAAGGCGCUUGAGAGAACUCGGGUGAAGGAACUAGGCAAAAUGGUGCCGUAACUUCGGGAGAAGGCACGCUGACACGUAGGUGAAGUGAUUUACUCAUGGAGCUGAAGUCAGUCGAAGAUACCAGCUGGCUGCAACUGUUUAUUAAAAACACAGCACUGUGCAAACACGAAAGUGGACGUAUACGGUGUGACGCCUGCCCGGUGCCGGAAGGUUAAUUGAUGGGGUCAGCGCAAGCGAAGCUCCUGAUCGAAGCCCCGGUAAACGGCGGCCGUAACUAUAACGGUCCUAAGGUAGCGAAAUUCCUUGUCGGGUAAGUUCCGACCUGCACGAAUGGCGUAAUGAUGGCCAGGCUGUCUCCACCCGAGACUCAGUGAAAUUGAACUCGCUGUGAAGAUGCAGUGUACCCGCGGCAAGACGGAAAGACCCCGUGAACCUUUACUAUAGCUUGACACUGAACAUUGAGCCUUGAUGUGUAGGAUAGGUGGGAGGCUUUGAAGUGUGGACGCCAGUCUGCAUGGAGCCGACCUUGAAAUACCACCCUUUAAUGUUUGAUGUUCUAACGUGGACCCGUGAUCCGGGUUGCGGACAGUGUCUGGUGGGUAGUUUGACUGGGGCGGUCUCCUCCUAAAGAGUAACGGAGGAGCACGAAGGUUGGCUAAUCCUGGUCGGACAUCAGGAGGUUAGUGCAAUGGCAUAAGCCAGCUUGACUGCGAGCGUGACGGCGCGAGCAGGUGCGAAAGCAGGUCAUAGUGAUCCGGUGGUUCUGAAUGGAAGGGCCAUCGCUCAACGGAUAAAAGGUACUCCGGGGAUAACAGGCUGAUACCGCCCAAGAGUUCAUAUCGACGGCGGUGUUUGGCACCUCGAUGUCGGCUCAUCACAUCCUGGGGCUGAAGUAGGUCCCAAGGGUAUGGCUGUUCGCCAUUUAAAGUGGUACGCGAGCUGGGUUUAGAACGUCGUGAGACAGUUCGGUCCCUAUCUGCCGUGGGCGCUGGAGAACUGAGGGGGGCUGCUCCUAGUACGAGAGGACCGGAGUGGACGCAUCACUGGUGUUCGGGUUGUCAUGCCAAUGGCACUGCCCGGUAGCUAAAUGCGGAAGAGAUAAGUGCUGAAAGCAUCUAAGCACGAAACUUGCCCCGA